GCGCUGGUGGUGUAAGGCGAACAUCGCUGCCCGGAAAGCAGAAGAUGCGGGUUCGAGUCCUGCCUGGCGCA
rnacentral:tRNA from 1 species